AGAGAGAGAGAGAGAGAGAGAGAGAGAGAGAAAUGUCAUUAGAAGAGGCGUAACGCGUCAGUCCGUGCGCAGGUUGCUUUCCUGGAGUGGCUGAAAGGGAUCAGUCCCAAACCUGAGCGCCAGGAAUAACGGUCCUUCCUUCCCGAGCACUUUUUCUUUACUCCCCCCUCUUUUUUUUUCUCCCUCACCGAGGCGGUGCUUUCGGUUCGCUUAAGGAUCCGCUUCGUUUCCACAACCGGCUCGGACACCAUACAACCUUCACAUGCGUGAGAUCCUCCAGCCUGCCGCCGCUGAUUGAAGGGAAGGAAGGAGAGUCGCGUCCAUAUCCAUGUGAGCCGCUGUCUGAUCCACACCACACACACACACCACGCACGCACACACACGCACACACACACACACACAAACAUACACACACACGCCCGUCGAUGAGGCAGCAGCAGGAGCAGCAGAUCAUGGCGGAUGGCCCCCGGUGCAAGCGACGGAAACAAGCCAACCCGAGGAGGAAAAACGAGGAAUUAAAAGGAAAUGAGAAUAAAACUGUCCAAUCCCAUCAUGGAAAAGUGAGCAG